rnacentral:rRNA from 1 species
UGCGUAGGUGGGCAGGUAAGUCAGUGGUGAAAUCUCCGGGCUUAACCCGGAAACUGCCAUUGAUACUAUCUGUCUUGAAUACCCUGGAGGUGAGCGGAAUAUGUCAUGUAGCGGUGAAAUGCUUAGAUAUGACAUAGAACACCAAUUGCGAAGGCAGCUCACUACGGGAAUAUUGACACUGAGGCACGAAAGCGUGGGGAUCAAACAGGAUUAGAUACCCUGGUAGUCCACGCCCUAAACGAUGGAUACUCGACAUUUGCGAUACACAGCAAGUGUCUGAGCUAAAGCAUUAAGUAUCCCACCUGGGAAGUACGAUCGCAAGAUUGAA